rnacentral:rRNA from 1 species
CGGAGGGUGCAAGCGUUAUCCGGAUUCACUGGGUUUAAAGGGUGCGUAGGCGGGCAGGUAAGUCAGUGGUGAAAUCUCUGGGCUUAACCCAGAAACUGCCGUUGAUACUACUUGUCUUGAAUAUCAUGGAGGUAAGCGGAAUACGUCAUGUAGCGGUGAAAUGCUUAGAUAUGACGUAGAACACCGAUAGCGAAGGCAGCUUACUACAUGUUCAUUGACGCUGAGGCACGAAAGCGUGGGGAGCAAACAGGAUUAGAUACCCUGGUAGUCCACGCCCUAAACGAUGGAUACUCGACAUCAGCGAUACACUGUUGGUGUCUGAGCGAAAGCAUUAAGUAUCCCACCUGGGAAGUACGACCGCAAGGUUG